CAAUAGCGUAUAUUAAAGUUGUUGCGGUUAAAAGCUCGUAGUUGGAUUUCUGUCUGAGGCGGCCGGUCCACUUUCUGAGUGAGCAUCUGGUCCGCUUUGGGCAUCCUCCUGGGGAACGUUUCCGCGCUUGAUUGUGUGGUACGGAAUCUAGGACUUUUACUUUGAGGAAAUUAGAGUGUUCACUGCAGGCAUACGCCUUGAAUACGUUAGCAUGGAAUAAUAAGAUAGGACCUCGGUUCUAUUUUUUCGGUUUCUAGAGCUGAGGUAAUGAUUAACAGGGAUAGUUGGGGGCAUUCGUAUUUAACUGUCAGAGGUGAAAUUCUUGGAUCAUCGUAAGACGAACUACUGCGAAAGCAUUUGCCAAGAAUGUUUUCAUUAGUCAAGAACGAAAGUCGGAGGUUCGAAGACGAUCAGAUACCAU
rnacentral:rRNA from 1 species